rnacentral:rRNA from 1 species
GAGACAUUCUUGGUCAUUUAGAGGAAGUAAAAGUCGUAACAAGGUCUCCGUAGGUGAACCUGCGGAGGGAUCAUUACAAGAACGCCCGGGCUUCGGCCUGGUUAUUCAUAACCCUUUGUUGUCCGACUCUGUUGCCUCCGGGGCGACCCUGCCUUCGGGCGGGGGCUCCGGGUGGACACUUCAAACUCUUGCGUAACUUUGCAGUCUGAGUAAACUUAAUUAAUAAAUUAAAACUUUUAACAACGGAUCUCUUGGUUCUGGCAUCGAUGAAGAACGCAGCGAAAUGCGAUAAGUAAUGUGAAUUGCAGAAUUCAGUGAAUCAUCGAAUCUUUGAACGCACAUUGCGCCCCCUGGUAUUCCGGGGGGCAUGCCUGUUCGAGCGUCAUUUCACCACUCAAGCCUCGCUUGGUAUUGGGCAACGCGGUCCGCCGCGUGCCUCAAAUCGUCCGGCUGGGUCUUCUGUCCCCUAAGCGUUGUGGAAACUAUUCGCUAAAGGGUGUUCGGGAGGCUACGCCGUAAAACAACCCCAUUUCUAAGGUUGACCUCGGAUCAGGUAUGGAUACCCGCUGAACUUAAGCAUAUCAAUAAGCGGAGGAAAUGUCUGAAUUCGA